UGGGGAGUACGGUCGCAAGACUAAAACUCAAAUGAAUUGACGGGGGCCCGCACAAGCGGUGGAGCAUGUGGUUUAAUUCGAUGCAACGCGAAGAGCCUUACCUGGCCUUGACAUACUAGAAACUUUCCAGAGAUGGAUUGGUUCCUUCGGGAAUCUAGAUACAGGUGCUGCAUGGCUGUCGUCAGCUCGUGUCGCGAGAUGUUGGGUUAAGUCCCGCAACGAGCGCAACCCUUUUCCUUACUUGCCAGCAUUUCGGAUGGGAACUUUAAGGAUACUGCCAGUGACAAUCUGGAGGAAGGCGGGGACGACGUCAAGUCAUCAUGGCCCUUACGGCCAGGGCUACACACGUGCUACAAUGGUCGGUACAAAGGGUUGCUACACAGCGAUGUGAUGCUAAUCUCAAAAAGCCGAUCGUAGUCCGGAUUGGAGUCUGCAACUCGACUCCAUGAAGUCGGAAUCGCUAGUAAUCGCGGAUCAGAAUGCCGCGG
rnacentral:rRNA from 1 species